rnacentral:tRNA from 1 species
GGUGGCUCAGUGGUGGAGCACUUGCCUUGCAUGCAUGAGGCCUUGGGUUCGAUUCCUCAGCACCA